UCUGCUGCUGGUGCUGCUGCUGGUGUCUGGCCUGGCUGCUGGAGGUCUUCUAGUCCUCCUCUGCUGCAUACUGAAGAGGAGAUCCAACACAGGAAGUAAUGUCACAAGGGCUGGUCAGAUCCCUCUUUCUCCUAAGAGAGACCAAGAUGACCUCAGCAGUGACACAUACACAGCUCUGAACUUGAAU